rnacentral:rRNA from 1 species
UACGUAGGGGGCUAGCGUUGUCCGGAAUCAUUGGGCGUAAAGCGCGUGUAGGCGGUUCGGUAAGUCCGCUGUGAAAGUCGGGGGCUCAACCCUCGAAUGCCGGUGGAUACUGUCGGACUAGAGUACGGAAGAGGCGAGUGGAAUUCCUGGUGUAGCGGUGAAAUGCGCAGAUAUCAGGAGGAACACCAAUUGCGAAGGCAGCUCGCUGGGACGUUACUGACGCUGAGACGCGAAAGCGUGGGGAGCAAACGGG